AAUGUGUAGCAAAAGACAGAAU
rnacentral:miRNA from 2 species